CUCUACUGCUAAUUUUAAAAUAAAACGACAGAAUCGUUAAUAUAUUAGUGCACAACAAAGCUGCAUUAGAACAUAAGAGAAGCCAAUAAGAGAAGAAGAGAAAAGAAGCACUGCAGAAGACUUUCAUCUUGCAGAAGACUUGAUUCUUCAGAAGACUCCAGUGAAAACUUGAUUCACAUCAUAUUAAAUGGAGAGAGUUCUAAACUUCAUUUUCGACCAUCCAUUUGUCACGGGGGCUGCUGUGAUAGGCGCUGUCACUGGCCUGUGGUAUGUCAUCUGGGGGAGACGCCCCCCUCCCCCACCAGUUGAACCACCUGUCCAAGAGGACAAUAUUGACCGGCAGGCAGAUCUUCGAUUUAGAAUUCCCCCCAUCAGAAGAGUCGGAAAUCAACUCCAAAUUUGAGCAAACAUCGUAUUUGUGUGAAAAUAUUUGGAUUAGGCCUAUUUAUGUUCUACAAACAUUUUUUGUGUUUAAUAAAG